rnacentral:rRNA from 1 species
AUUGAACGCUGGCGGCAUGCCUUACACAUGCAAGUCGAACGGCAGCACGGGGCAACCUGGUGGCGAGUGGCGAACGGGUGAGUAAUGCAUCGGAACGUGCCAUUGAGUGGGGGAUAACGUAGCGAAAGUUGCGCUAAUACCGCAUAUUCUGUGAGCAGGAAAGCAGGGGACCGCAAGGCCUCGCGCUCUUUGAGCGGCCGAUGUCAGAUUAGCUAGUUGGUGAGGUAACGGCUUACCAAGGCGACGAUCUGUAGCGGGUCUGAGAGGAUGAUCCGCCACACUGGAACUGAGACACGGUCCAGACUCCUACGGGAGGCAGCAGUGGGGAAUUUUGGACAAUGGGCGCAAGCCUGAUCCAGCCAUGCCGCGUGAGUGAAGAAGGCCU